rnacentral:rRNA from 1 species
AUUGAACGCUGGCGGCAGGCUUAACACAUGCAAGUCGAGCGGGGGAAGGUAGCUUGCUACCGGACCUAGCGGCGGACGGGUGAGUAAUGCUUAGGAAUCUGCCUAUUAGUGGGGGACAACAUCUCGAAAGGGAUGCUAAUACCGCAUACGUCCUACGGGAGAAAGCAGGGGAUCUUCGGACCUUGCGCUAAUAGAUGAGCCUAAGUCGGAUUAGCUAGUUGGUGGGGUAAAGGCCUACCAAGGCGACGAUCUGUAGCGGGUCUGAGAGGAUGAUCCGCCACACUGGGACUGAGACACGGCCCAGACUCCUACGGGAGGCAGCAGUGGGGAAUAUUGGACAAUGGGGGGAACCCUGAUCCAGCCAUGCCGCGUGUGUGAAGAAGGCCUUAUGGUUGUAAAGCACUUUAAGCGAGGAGGAGGCUACUCUAGUUAAUACCUAGGGAUAGUGGACGUUACUCGCAGAAUAAGCACCGGCUAACUCUGUGCCAGCAGCCGCCGUAAUAC